CACCUCUAGCAUUUCAAGUAUUAGAGGCAUUGCCUGCCCAGUGACUAUAGUUAAACGGCCGCGGUAUCCUGACCGUGCAAAGGUAGCAUAAUCAUUUGUUCCUUAAUUAGGGACUAGAAUGAACGGCUAGACGAGGGUUCAACUGUCUCUUAUUUUUAAUCAGUGAAAUUGACCCUCCAGUGAAGAGGCUGGAAUAUAAUAAUAAGACGAGAAGACCCUAUGGAGCUUAAAUUAAAAAGCUUAAUUACUGUUUCACUACCCUAAAUGGCAUAAGAUAAAAAAUUAUAAGCUUAAAAUUUUGGUUGGGGUGACCUCGGAGAAUAAAAAAUCCUCCGAACGAUAAAUAACCUAGACUCACAAGUCAAAGUAGCCUAACUAUCUAAUUGACCCAAAAAUUGAUCAACGGACCAAGUUACCCUAGGGAUAACAGCGCAAUCCUAUUUAAGAGUUCAUAUCGACAAUAGGGUUUACGACCUCGAUGUUGGAUCAGGACAUCCCAAUGGUGCAGAAGCUAUUAAUGGUUCGUUUGUUCAACGAUUAAAGUCCUACGUGAUCUA
rnacentral:rRNA from 1 species